UACGUAGGGUGCAAGCGUUAAUCGGAAUUACUGGGCGUAAAGCGUGCGCAGGCGGCUUUGCAAGACAGAUGUGAAAUCCCCGGGCUUAACCUGGGAACUGCAUUUGUGACUGCAUCGCUAGAGUGUGGCAGAGGGGGAUGGAAUUCCGCGUGUAGCAGUGAAAUGCGUAGAUAUGCGGAGGAACACCGAUGGCGAAGGCAAUCCCCUGGGCCUGCACUGACGCUCAUGCACGAAAGCGUGGGGAGCAAACAGG
rnacentral:rRNA from 1 species